rnacentral:rRNA from 1 species
ACUGAGACACGGCCCAGACUCCUACGGGAGGCAGCAGUGGGGAAUCUUGCGCAAUGCGCGAAAGCGUGACGCAGCAACGCCGCGUGGGGGAAGACGGCCUUCGGGUUGUAAACCCCUUUCAGCGGGGAAGAUAAUGACGGUACCCGCAGAAGAAGCCCCGGCUAACUCCGUGCCAGCAGCCGCGGUAAUACGGAGGGGGCUAGCGUUGUUCGGAAUUACUGGGCGUAAAGCGCGCGUAGGCGGACCUGCAAGUCGGGGGUGAAAGCCCGAGGCUCAACCUCGGAACUGCCUUCGAUACUGCGGGUCUUCGAGUCCGGGAGAGGUGAGUGGAAUUCCUAGUGUAGAGGUGAAAUUCGUAGAUAUUAGGAAGAACACCAGUGGCGAAGGCGGCUCACUGGCCCGGUACUGACGCUGAGGCGCGAAAGCGUGGGGAGCAAACAGGAUUAGAUACCCCGGUAGUCCACGCCGUAAACUAUGGAUGCUAGCUGUUCUCGGUAUCGACCCCGAGUGUAGCGAAGCUAACGCGUUAAGCAUCCCGCCUGUGGAGUACGGUCGCAAGGCUGAA